UACCAGCACCCCGAGUGGUCGGGACGUUUAUUGGGCCUAAAGCAUCCGUAGCCGGUUCUACAAGUCUUCCGUUAAAUCCAACUGCUUAACAGGUGGGCUGCGGAAGAUACUAUAGAGCUAGGAGGCGGGAGAGGCAAGCGGUACUCGAUGGGUAGGGGUAAAAUCCGCUGAUCCAUAGAAGACCACCAGUGGCGAAGGCGGCUUGCCAGAACGCGCUCGACGGUGAGGGAUGAAAGCUGGGGGAGCAAACCGG
rnacentral:rRNA from 1 species